GAGUGGGGAGGAGAGAGGGACAGAGAGCCUGCUUGCUUUAAAGGAGCCAACCGGACAGGGGCCGCUUACACUCGUGUAAAGCAAGCAGGCUCUCUGUCCCUCUCUCCUCCCCACUCA